rnacentral:miRNA from 1 species
UGUAACCCUAGAAUAAUUAUUCGACCUCUCAAAACCGAGACUCAGAGAAGUUGGGUAUUCUAGGGUCACACA